AUUGAACGCUGGCGGCAGGCCUAACACAUGCAAGUCGAACGGUAACAGGAAACAGCUUGCUGUUUCGCUGACGAGUGGCGGACGGGUGAGUAAUGUCUGGGAAACUGCCUGAUGGAGGGGGAUAACUACUGGAAACGGUAGCUAAUACCGCAUAACGUCGCAAGACCAAAGAGGGGGACCCUCGGGCCUCUUGCCAUCGGAUGUGCCCAGAUGGGAUUAGCUUGUUGGUGGGGUAACGGCUCACCAAGGCGACGAUCCCUAGCUGGUCUGAGAGGAUGACCAGCAACACUGGAACUGAGACACGGUCCAGACUCCUACGGGAGGCAGCAGUGGGGAAUAUUGCACAAUGGGCGCAAGCCUGAUGCAGCCAUGCCGCGUGUAUGAAGAAGGCCUUCGGGUUGUAAAGUACUUUCAGCGGGGAGGAAGGGAGUAAAGUUAAUACCUUUGCUCAUUGACGUUACCCGCAGAAGAAGCACCGGCUAACUCCGUG
rnacentral:rRNA from 1 species